GUCGCUUUAGCUCACUUGGGAGAGCGCCAGACUGAAGCCUAUCACUUCGGUUUAUAAUCUGUGUUCAGAGGGAAUCUGGAGGUACUGUGUUCGAUCCACAGAAGCGACA